AAAUACAAAAUAAACGUAUAUAUGUAAAGUCGAUGUUUCCUAAAAUAAUUUAUAAAAUUAUUUACACCUGAAAAAUAAAAUAAAAAACAUUUAUAUAUUAUUUAAAAAAAAACAAACAAAACAAAUCAAGAAAUAAUAAUCAGGCAUACUCCGGUAAUCGUAAUUUCUUUCCGAAUUCGAUUUGGUCUGAAUCUUUCGAUUUCGCAAAAGUUUUGCUAUCGGAAUGUUUUCUAAACAGUAAACAGCUGCUUUUCAGCGGCCACCUUUUUCACAGUUUUAGUUCCGAUGUUCGCAAGUAUUUUUUUACUGCAUUACUUACGAACAACACUUUUGGCCCUCUUUUAAUUUAAAAUAGUGAAUUCUUUUAUAUAUUAGUAGCAUUAUCACCUGCAUGUUUCACUUCACCAACAGUGGCAGCCUUUGGGGUAACUUUUGUGAACGUACGUGCCAAUCGAAAUUGUUGCCGACGGCAAAAUUUUGUUUAAAAAAUUUUUGGUGAAAUAAAAUUGUAUAUUAAAUAACUAAUAAAUAAACAUCAUUAGACCACUGAGUAAACUAUUUUUUCCCUUAGUAAUAUAAAAAAUGGGCAUAUACUUUUCAUUUCGGCCAGACAAAAGUGCGCGUUUUACAAAGCGAAAAAUUCUUACGAAUUCGAAAACCGGAGCACCGAUCGAUUACCGAAGCAUGCCCGAUAGAUUGAUUUUGAAAUUUUUUGGAGGUGUACGCAGAGUUAUACAAGGAAUGUAUAACGUUGGUAAAAUAUUCUGCCAGCGGUCUAACGAAAUGCACGCAAUAAGUUUUCGGUCGACUUCGGGAAUGGUCUUCGUGCAUAAAUGUCCAGAAAAAUAAGCGCAGCGUUAGGUCCCACACAAUGUCAUGUUCUAUCAAAAUCUAUCCAAGUUUAGAGUUAAAUAGCUAUUUGUAUGGACAUAGUCCCUUUUUUUUUAAUAUACAGAAGUUUUGGUGUUGGUCUAAGAGUGCGGCACUCAGUUUCUAUGUGCCGUCCUGUUAAAUUGAAGUGUAGGAAAAUCUAAAGACCUGGGAAGUGUGAAACAGAAAGAAGAAAGCUUUUCCGACCCUAUAAAGUAUAUAUACGCUUGAUCAGUAUCACUAGCCGAGUCAAACUGGCCAGUGCCACGCCUACACCUUUCCCAUCAUUUCCCAUCGACAAUUUUUAUUUCCAGAAGUUUGAUAACAACAUAAUGGUCCAAUGUUGCCGACUGGAUAACUCCAUUUAUUGGACUCCGCCACAGAGUUGGUUGUAAGGGAUACCACCUGUUGAGCUUGUUGCGGACGAAAAGAAUGCAAUUGUGAUUUUAAAAAUACUGGAAAGUCAACAUGCUGCUGAAUUUGCAAGCUGGAUGAUAAUUCAUUAGCAGCUAAGCCCUUUAUACGCGAUUUCUCACUAACACAUUUUGAUAAUGUCCUCUUGGAAAGACAUCGAUCCUUUUGAAGCUUAUCUUUUUUUCGUCGAGCUAAAAUUUUUAAAUGUCCAUUUAUUCCUUUUGCGUCCUGAAAAGAAAGAUUUAAAAAAUAAUAUGUUGUAAACACAAUGUACACAAUUAUAUACCCCUUGCAGUCCAACUUAUCAUUUUUGUCAUACGUUAUUAAGCGUAAGUACUUGUUACUCAUUGGUUGGCUUUCUAAAUAAAUAUAUAUAAGCUUAAAUAAA